rnacentral:rRNA from 1 species
AGUCGAACGAGUUCUCGUUGAUGAUCGGUGCUUGCACCGAGAUUCAACAUGGAACGAGUGGCGGACGGGUGAGUAACACGUGGGUAACCUGCCCUUAAGUGGGGGAUAACAUUUGGAAACAGAUGCUAAUACCGCAUAGAUCCAAGAACCGCAUGGUUCUUGGCUGAAAGAUGGCGUAAGCUAUCGCUUUUGGAUGGACCCGCGGCGUAUUAGCUAGUUGGUGAGGUAACGGCUCACCAAGGCGAUGAUACGUAGCCGAACUGAGAGGUUGAUCGGCCACAUUGGGACUGAGACACGGCCCAAACUCCUACGGGAGGCAGCAGUAGGGAAUCUUCCACAAUGGACGCAAGUCUGAUGGAGCAACGCCGCGUGAGUGAAGAAGGCUUUCGGGUCGUAAAACUCUGUUGUUGGAGAAGAAUGGUCGGCAGAGUAACUGUUGUCGGCGUGACGGUAUCCAACCAGAAAGCCACGGCUAACUACGUGCCAGCAGCCGCGGUAAUACGUAGGUGGCAAGCGUUAUCCGGAUUUAUUGGGCGUAAAGCGAGCGCAGGCGGUUUUUUAAGUCUGAUGUGAAAGCCCUCGGCUUAACCGAGGAAGCGCAUCGGAAACUGGGAAACUUGAGUGCAGAAGAGGACAGUGGAACUCCAUGUGUAGCGGUGAAAUGCGUAGAUAUAUGGAAGAACACCAGUGGCGAAGGCGGCUGUCUGGUCUGUAACUGACGCUGAGGCUCGAAAGCAUGGGUAGCGAACAGGAUUAGAUACCCUUGGUAGUC